rnacentral:rRNA from 1 species
AAAGGAAUAGACGGGGGCCCGCACAAGCGGAGGAACAUGUGGUUUAAUUCGAUGAUACGCGAGGAACCUUACCUGGGCUUGAAAGGGGAAUGACCUCCCGGGAAACCGGGAUUCUCUUCGGAGCAUUCUCCUAGGUGCUGCAUGGUUGUCGUCAGCUCGUGCCGUGAGGUGUCGGGUUAAGUCCCAUAACGAGCGCAACCCCUAUUGUUAGUUGCCAGCGGGUAAUGCCGGGAACUCUAACGAAACUGCCGGUGUAAACCGAGAGGAAGGUGGGGAUGACGUCAAAUCAGCACGGCCCUUAUGUCCAGGGCUACACACGUGUUACAAUGGCCGGUACAAAGGGCAGCUACUUGGUGACAAGAUGCUAAUCUCUAAAACCGGUCUCAGUUCGGAUCGAAGUCUGCAACUCGACUUCGUGAAGCUGGAUUCGCUAGUAAUCGCGCAUCAGCAACGGCGCGGUGAAUACGUUCCCGGGCCUUGUACACACCGCCCGU